rnacentral:lncRNA from 1 species
CAUCUCAGAUUUCCUCCCAGGUGGUCAUCCUUGAAUGGGAUGAGAUUUCCCUGCAGGCACAGCUGGUCCCCAGCUACCCCUUACUUGCUGAGUUGAGCACUGCCAGGUAGCAGAGACAACCCAGUGGGAGUGUGGACCCACUGCUGGGACCUCCCUGUGGCCAGAGGGUGCCAAAGGGGCUCCUCAAGUAGACUUUGGAGAGGGGAGUGACACAAAAAUGUUCCCAGCACGGCUUCAGGUGACAGCAGGUGACAAGGUGGAGGGAGGAGAGCCCCAGGUUCUGAAGAGCUCAGUUUGCAGCUGGAGAUGGAUCACCAAUCUUCCAGGGAAUUGUGCUCUACAAGGUUAAGCAUGUUUGCAGAAGAAAUAUGGAUAAUGCUCUUAUCAUCAUUAGAUUACUUUCCAUCCCGGCUGCUCACAUGAAUUGUACCCCCUGUUACCAUGAGCAAGGCUCCUAUUUUCCAUGCCUAAUGUCAUUGUGGCCCUACAUUUACCCAGAGGACUGGAGAGAACUUUCCAAGGCACAAAGAGAGCAGCUCUGCUCUCCCUCCCCGGCAGACAAUUUGUGCAUAUGUGCGUAUAAAUGCUGCACUUACUUUGAGAUGUCUCUCUAAUCCAGGAGUUGAUAAAUGACUCUUUCAGACACCUCUGCUGAUGCUGCAUUUUUAAUGUAGACAAACUGUAGCUCUGGCUCCAGCCUGUGCAUCCCUGCCACUGCCAUCCCCACUCUUGGCGGGUUAAUGUUUCAUCUCGCCUGCUGUAAUUUGGGAGGUUUUUACUUCCAGAGUGUGUUUUGAUUUACAGAAGGUAAAAAGCAGUUGGCAGUUUGAUGUUUACUCUUUUGUGGGCUUGUUGGUUUUUUUUCUCUUUUUAAAUGCAGCAAGCUUUCAGGUGCGAGUGCUGCUUCCUGCUGUACAUAACUGAUAUUUAUCCUGCCUCUCUGGGGAAAGAUGCUGCCCAAAAGGGAUGCCAAACAAAGCCCCUCACACCCUGCCUGAGCUGUGGUUUUGGGGACUGAGCUGCUCUAACUGCUCACUGUGGUGCAGGGUGGCACAUAACAUCUGCCAGUGCAGGACUUGUACAGGGAUCAAAGGGAAAGCAGAGCUCACAGGAAGCAGCUGAAUACACAGUCAGUGUUUGCAGCCCUAAGAAAUCAGUUUCUGCCAGUUGGCAUUAUCCAUAGUCUGGGCUUGUUGGGAGCUCAUCUCCCUUUGCUGCUGGAGCAAGAGUGAUCAGAUGAGUCAAAGGCAAGCAAAGACUUUCAGAUGGAAGUAAUGUGGGCAUGCUGCAUCCAUGCAGGGCUGUGGGUAUCUGUGGGGAUUCCCAGUGUUUCACAUCUUCAGAAUGAGCUCAGGAAGGUCCAAUCUUGCUCAUUCUCAUCAGCACCAAACCAGAGUGAGGUCACUGAGAUCACCGAGCUCCACAGCCCAAGUGGGGAGCAGAGAAUCAUUCUCUUGGGAGGAAAAUGUUUUCUAGUAACAAAAAGGUGUGUGUUGUUGUAGCCCACUGCUGAUUUUGAGGAAGACCUCACCAAGCCUCUGACAUCCUGAGUGACCCUAGAAGAACAAAAACUUUUGUCACUGGGCUUCUGCUUCAGUAGCUUUCCAUCUCUUACUCCAUCCAUGUGUUAUGUCCACUACAGUGGGGACUGGUUUCCUUUACAGCACUUCCCCAGGGCUCUGUAAUCUCUUUAUUCUGCUGCCUUACACGAUCUUCAGUACUGCAGAGGCAGCAGUCCCCCGGCACUGAAUCUUCCCAAAUGUGCAGCCUGCCCCCUCUGCCUGAUCCCUCCUUUGUGCCCACAGACCCUUACAGGCUUUGCUGCUGUCCCCAGAAAGCCCUGUCACUUCUUGAUGAGUUUCUGGUGGCAAAGUGAGUGCCUGUGGCUGUAGGAGCCCUGCCUGAGCAGGGCUUACAGCUGUGAGCUCUCACCUCUCCCGGGACAGCACAGUGAGUGCUGCACCUGGGACAAAGAGGGCAAGGUGACAACCAGACCUGGUCUGCAGCGCCCUGUGACUGCCCCAGGAGCUGCCCAGCCUGUCCCUGAGCCCUGGGCUCCAGCCCCCUGUGAGUGCCCAGGAGCAUCCUGAGAUCAGUCAGUUGUGCAUGGGAGCAAGUGCAAAACAAACUGCACUUGAGAGCAGGCACUGUCUCUCUCUGUCUCUAUUUCACUGAGCCCUUGUUCCAAACUCUUGCUUUGCUGAGGAGUUUCUCCAUGUCACACGCGCUGAACUUGGAUUAUGCUGCAAGAUCUUCCUGGUGUUGGUGUUGUCUAAAGAAUAACCUGGCUGUGUUUGCCUGCCUCAAGCCCAUCCUAAACUAAUCCUGAUUUUCUCAAUUUACUUUAUAUUACUGUUUCUCUUCCCUCAUUGUCUAACCUUAAUGAUAAGCCUGGAGAAUGGCUUGGGAUCAUGGCAAGAGUGCCUGCCCUGGCUGCAGUGGGUGUAGAGGCAUUUUGGGGAGAUGGGGCUCCCCCCUGCCUCCCUCUGUGCAAGGGUUGAUGUGGAGGCAUUACCUCAUGUUCCACGCCACGCAGUGAGUCAAACUCUGCUAAGUAACUAAAUAAAGAUGUAAUUUUAAUGAUGAUUAAAUUGAAGCACCUCAUUAAUUUCAUGUGAGAGGUGGGGAAGUACAC